rnacentral:lncRNA from 1 species
GGUGGAGAUGAUGAACGAUGGGAUGCAAGAGCUCUUCUUGGAAUUUCUGGGGUCUACUAAAAGUAUGUUCCCUAUUCCUGAUCUAGAUAUAGUGUAAGCAACUCUGACGGAAAUUAUGAAUCCCUUCUAUUGAGGCACUUUGUUUUUGGUUCUGUAGGGAUUUCUCCAUACUGCAUUUGUUGUAUCGUAAGCACAGCAAGCCCCCUCUAAUAAUCUUCAUCAUUAUUACACAAAAAUAGGCAAGGAGCUAACACAAGGGGAGUCAUGAUGUUCCAAAUAGACUGUCUCUGAUCUCUCUUUGACGUUCAACCAGGGUAGCACAAACAAGAGAAGACUAUAAACAAUGCAAGGUUUUGCACUCUUGAUCUAUGUUAUCUCUUAUAGAACGAAUUCACUGUAGGUCACUACAAGGUUUCUGGGACUAUUGUACCUAAACAUUUAUUUCUUAAUACUUUGAAAAACUCAAA